rnacentral:rRNA from 1 species
AACGCUAGCGGCAGGCCUAAUACAUGCAAGUCGGACGGGAUUGGGGAGCUUGCUCCCCAUGAGAGUGGCGCACGGGUGCGUAACACGUAUGUAACCUACCCAUAUCAGGGGGAUAGCCUCUCGAAAGAGAGAUUAAGCCCGCAUAAAAUCACAGAGCAGCAUUGCUCAAUGAUCAAAUAUUUAUAGGAUAUGGAUGGGCAUGCGGAACAUUAGCUAGUUGGUAAGGUAACGGCUUACCAAGGCUACGAUGUUUAGGGGAUCUGAGAGGAUGACCCCCCACACUGGUACUGAGACACGGACCAGACUCCUACGGGAGGCAGCAGUACGGAAUAUUGGUCAAUGGGCGCAAGCCUGAACCAGCCAUGCCGCGUGCAGGAAGACGGCCCUACGGGUUGUAAACUGCUUUUAUACGGGAAUAAACUUCACUACGUGUAGUGAGCUGAAUGUACUGUAAGAAUAAGGAUCGGCUAACUCCGUGCCAGCAGCCGCGGUAAUACGGAGGAUCCAAGCGUUAUCCGGAUUUAUUGGGUUUAAAGGGUGCGUAGGCGGCCUAUUAAGUCAGGGGUGAAAGACGGUAGCUUAACUAUCGCAGUGCCCUUGAUACUGAUGGGCUUGAAUAUACUAGAGGUAGGCGGAAUGUGACAAGUAGCGAUGAAAUGCAUAGAUAUGUCACAGAACACCAAUUGCGAAGGCAGCUUACUAUGGUAUUAUUGACGCUGAGGCACGAAAGCGUGGGGAUCAAACAGGAUUAGAUACCCUGGUAGUCCACGCCCCAAACGAUGAACACUCGAUGUUGGCGAUAUACGGUCAGCGUCAAAGCGAAAGCGUUAAGUGUUCCACCUGGGGAGUACGCCCGCAAGGGUGAAACUCAAAG